rnacentral:lncRNA from 1 species
GUCAGAAACUCCAUGACGACAGAUAUGCAUAUGUAUCUUCAAAAUAAAUCACUAUUGACCUCUACUCUUUAACUUAACCAAUUGGCUUGCAAAUAUCUAGCUAACACCACCAUCAGUCCCAUGAUCUGAACAACAACGAUGCAGCAUUAUUUUGCCUCAUGUACGAGCCUUGCGGCAAGGAUUGAAAGGAUCUUGGUGUGUCUGGAUAUCUUUCUUUUUCUGUCUCUUUGGCACAUGCAGGAAUUCAUUUGCUAUACAUUCCAAUGCUCUAACGGUUAAGGGUCUGUUCCUAGAGCUCUGUCUCCUCGGAUUCAUAUCAGGCUGUUGUUCCAAAGAACCAACAUCACAAGGGAUUCUCAAAGGCUCCUUAACUACUUCCUGAGAAGCAUAUGUUAGACAUGGAUUUUUUGCCGUUAGGCCUUGCUCAUCUUCAGCUGCCAUUGCCACUGUUUUGCUAUUUUCAGAAUUCGAUGGUACCUGAGGUAUGUUGAAGGUGAAAGAUUCAGAUUUUUCAACUUUGACACAAGAAACACUCGUGUGUUGAUAGCUGUCGUUGAUAAUGCUUUUUCCAUUAUCCUCUUCCACACUUCUGUCUGCUGAAGAAGUUGAAUUUUCAUUCUGAUGAUGACUAACUGGACCACAAACAUUUUGGUUUGCAUCUCGAAAGCAAGAAGACCGAGAUAAACCUAAACAUCCUGAAGAAUUCUCAACAAUGCGACUUUUCUCUGAUUUGGCACAAGCAGUCAAUUUCCUCCGUUUAAUAGGAACGGCUGCAUGAUUAGAAUCACCAGAUCUUACUCUCCGAUUGAAUUGAUGUUUUAUGAUCCUCGUCAAUCGAUUGUUAUCAAGAUUAUCAUGUGCUUUUUUACUGGUAGCACCACUGUUAGAUACCCCUCUGCACCCAUCAGUUUUAUUGAUAUUCUUUUUGUCACAUACCAGCCUCUUAGCUUCCACCUUCCUCGACGAAUCAUCAAUUGAAGAGCCACCCUUACUUUCUCUCAGAAGACCAGUAGUCAUCGUAGAAGCAUCUUCUAAUUCAACUGGAAGAUAUUUCAAUUGUUUCACUUUCAGCUUCAAUAGUUUUCCUUCAGAAAGUCUAUUGGUAUCAAUCACUAUUAACUUUGUCGACUUCUGUUUAAUGGUUUUAGGCGCAUCCUUGCUAUGGUUUACCUUCCUACAACCAAAAUCUACCUCAACUUUAGGCACCGAAUUAACAGGCACAGAUUUCAAUUCCCUUAAAGCAGAUGACUUUCCACCAUGCACCAAACUGGUAUCAAUAACCAUGAAUUUGAUAUGAUCUUUACUGUAAGUAGAAGAUCGGGGCUUGAGGUAACAAUAGCGAUGAUCCUUAGACAGAUCAUCUUCAUUUGAUCCAUUUUCGGGAUCUUCCUCAUUGCAGCUACCAAAUUUGGCUUCUCCUUCUUCUUCUUUGAGCACGAGAAUAUUCGGUUCAGCAACUACUUUUCUCAAGACAUCACUAACAGAAUCAAAGUAAUGGUCACCUUUCACAAGUUUUCUCCUCGAAAACUUCUCAACACCGGGAAUAAGAAAAACCAGAUAAUCAUUGGAAGUAACAUAGCAUCGAUACUUUGGUUGCUCAGAGUGCCAACCUCUUGCCAGUAAGCGGGGCCAAACAGCCUCCCAGAAGAGAUCAUUACUUUUGGUUUUGCUCAGCCGAAAUCCUGUCAAAUAUUGAAUUAUCUCACUAGGUCCAAGAGAAGACAAAGCUUUGCAAGCUGGUACUGGCAACGCUUGAACGUCCUUCCCAGGUUCCAUGCCAAUCCUAGUAAGGUCUCCCAUCUCCUUACCAAUACCUACAGCUUCCACAAGUACACCAAGUCCAACAGUAGACUUCAAAGAAGAUGUGUAAUCUUCUAGAGAAGUUCUUCCCUCCAUAAACGACUUUGAAAUCUGUGUAUAAAUAUAAGUAAAGUGAGGACUGAAACAUAUGAUAUAUAUAACUGGAGUGAUUUAAAGAAAAAAGGUACUGGUAUGGACAUAAAACUUCAAAUAAUUAUGGUAUGUUGCAGUAAAUGAUAAUUCGCUCGGUUACUCCAUCGUAAUUACAUUGUAACUAUCAAAUGCACAAAGUAUGUAAAAUUAAAGAAAUAAGAUGUUCCAUAAACUAGCGAAGCUUUCAGUUUGUAACAUCGAAUUGCCUAGGAGAAACAAACUAAGCAUCAUUCG